AGAGAGUGCAAGCGUUAAUCGGAAUUACUGGGCGUAAAGCGCACGUAGGUGGAUACUUAAGUCGGAUGUGAAAGCCCUGAGCUUAACUCGGGAACUGCAUCCGAUACUGGGUAUCUAGAGUAUGGUAGAGGGAAGUGGAAUUUCCGGUGUAGCGGUGAAAUGCGUAGAUAUCGGAAGGAACACCAGUGGCGAAGGCGGCUUCCUGGACCAAUACUGACACUGAGGUGCGAAAGCGUGGGGGAGCAAACAGGAUUAGAGACCCUGGUAGUCCACGCCGUCAACGAUGAGAACUAGAUGUCGGGGAGUAUAGCUCCUUAGUAUCGAAGCUAACGCGUUAAGUUCUCCCGCCUGGGAGUACGGCCGCAAGGCUA
rnacentral:rRNA from 1 species